GAUGAAGAACGUAGUGAAAUGCGAUAAGUAGUGUGAAUUGCAGAAUUCAGUGAAUCAUCGAAUCUUUGAACGCACAUUGCGCCCCUUGGUAUUCCAUGGGGCAUGCCUGUUCGAGCGUCAUCUACACCCUCAAGCUCUGCUUGGUGUUGGGCGUCUGUCCCGCCUCGGCGCGCGGACUCGCCCCAAAGGCAUUGGCAGCGGUCCACGGCCCCUCUCGCGCAGCACAUUGCGCUUCUCGAGGCGGCCCGGCCCGCAUCCACGAAGCCCACAUUACCGUCUUUGACCUCGGAUCAGGUAGGGAUACCCGCUGAACUUAAGCAUAUCAAUAAGCGGAGGA
rnacentral:misc_RNA from 1 species